rnacentral:rRNA from 1 species
CCUACGGGUGGCAGCAGUGGGGAAUAUUGCUCAAUGGGCGAAAGCCUGAUGCAGCAACGCCGCGUGAGCGAUGAAGGCCUUCGGGUCGUAAAGCUCUGUCUGCAAGGAAGCUAAUGACGCUACUGGAGGAGGAAGCCCCGGCUAACUACGUGCCAGCAGCCGUGGUAAUACGUAGGGGGCUAGCGUUAUCCGGAAUUACUGGGCGUAAAGGGUGCGUAGGUGGUUUCUUAAGUCAGAGGUGAAAGGCUGCGGCUCAACCGUAGUAAGCCUUUGAAACUGGGGAACUUGAGUGCAGGAGAGGAGAGUGGAAUUCGUAGUGUAGCGGUGAAAUGCGUAGAUAUUAGGAAGAACACCAGUUGCGAAGGCGGCUCUCUGGACUGUCACUGACACUGAGGCACGAAAGCGUGGGGAGCAAACAGGAUUAGAUACCCUUGUAGUC